GCCGGGCGGGAGCUAUAAUGCAGUCGACGCUUUGUGGUUCAACUGAUUUGAAGAGCUUGCUCAGAUAUGACGAUGGACAUUGCAAAGAGUGGCGAACGGGUGAGUAACACGUGGGAAACCUACCUCUUAGCAGGGGAUAACAUUUGGAAACAGAUGCUAAUACCGUAUAACAAUGACAACCGCAUGGUUGUUAUUUAAAAGAUGGUUCUGCUAUCACUAAGAGAUGGUCCCGCGGUGCAUUAGCUAGUUGGUAAGGUAAUGGCUUACCAAGGCGAUGAUGCAUAGCCGAGUUGAGAGACUGAUCGGCCACAAUGGGACUGAGACACGGCCCAUACUCCUACGGGAGGCAGCAGUAGGGAAUCUUCCACAAUGGGCGAAAGCCUGAUGGAGCAACGCCGCGUGUGUGAUGAAGGGUUUCGGCUCGUAAAACACUGUUGUAAGAGAAGAAUGACAUUGAGAGUAACUGUUCAAUGUGUGACGGUAUCUUACCAGAAAGGAACGGCUAAAUACGUGCCAGCAGCCGCGGUAAUACGUAUGUUCCAAGCGUUAUCCGGAUUUAUUGGGCGUAAAGCGAGCGCAGACGGUUAUUUAAGUCUGAAGUGAAAGCCCUCAGCUCAACUGAGGAAUUGCUUUGGAAACUGGAUGACUUGAGUGCAGUAGAGGAAAGUGGAACUCCAUGUGUAGCGGUGAAAUGCGUAGAUAUAUGGAAGAACACCAGUGGCGAAGGCGGCUUUCUGGACUGUAACUGACGUUGAGGCUCGAAAGUGUGGGUAGCAAACAGGAUUAGAUACCCUGGUAGUCCACACCGUAAACGAUGAGUGCUAGGUGUUUGAGGGUUUCCGCCCUUAAGUGCCGCAGCUAACGCAUUAAGCACUCCGCCUGGGGAGUACGACCGCAAGGUUGAAACUCAAAGGAAUUGACGGGGACCCGCACAAGCGGUGGAGCAUGUGGUUUAAUUCGAAGCAACGCGAAGAACCUUACCAGGUCUUGACAUCCCUUGACAACUCCAGAGAUGGAGCGUUCCCUUCGGGGACAGUGACAGUGGUGCAUGGGUGUCGUCAGCUCGUGUCGUGAGAUGUUGGGUAAGUCCCGCAACGAGCGCAACCCCUUAUUACUAGUUGCCAGCAUUCAGUUUGGGCACCUCU
rnacentral:rRNA from 1 species